rnacentral:rRNA from 1 species
AGAUUGAACGCUGGCGGCAGGCUUAACACAUGCAAGUCGAGCGGAGAUGAGGUGCUUGCACCUUAUCUUAGCGGCGGACGGGUGAGUAAUGCUUAGGAAUCUGCCUAUUAGUGGGGGACAACAUUCCGAAAGGAAUGCUAAUACCGCAUACGCCCUACGGGGGAAAGCAGGGGAUCUUCGGACCUUGCGCUAAUAGAUGAGCCUAAGUCGGAUUAGCUGGUUGGUGGGGUAAAGGCCUACCAAGGNGACGAUCUGUAGAGGGUCUGAGAGGAUGAUCCGCCACACUGGGACUGAGACACGGCCCAGACUCCUACGGGAGGCAGCAGUGGGGAAUAUUGGACAAUGGGCGGAAGCCUGAUCCAGCCAUGCCGCGUGUGUGAAGAAGGCCUUUUGGUUGUAAAGCACUUUAAGCGAGGAGGAGGCUACUUAGAUUAAUACUCUAGGAUAGUGGACGUUACUCGCAGAAUAAGCACCGGCUAACUCUGUGCCAGCAGCCGCGGUAAUACAGAGGGUGCGAGCGUUAAUCGGAUUUACUGGGCGUAAAGCGUGCGUAGGCGGCUGAUUAAGUCGGAUGUGAAAUCCCUGAGCUUAACUUAGGAAUUGCAUUCGAUACUGGUCAGCUAGAGUAUGGGAGAGGAUGGUAGAAUUCCAGGUGUAGCGGUGAAAUGCGUAGAGAUCUGGAGGAAUACCGAUGGCGAAGGCAGCCAUCUGGCCUAAUACUGACGCUGAGGUACGAAAGCAUGGGGAGCAAACAGGAUUAGAUACCCUGGUAGUCCAUGCCGUAAACGAUGUCUACUAGCCGUUGGGGCCUUUGAGGCUUUAGUGGCGCAGCUAACGCGAUAAGUAGACCGCCUGGGGAGUACGGUCGCAAGACUAAAACUCAAAUGAAUUGACGGGGGCCCGCACAAGCGGUGGAGCAUGUGGUUUAAUUCGAUGCAACGCGAAGAACCUUACCUGGCCUUGACAUAGUAAGAACUUUCCAGAGAUGGAUUGGUGCCUUCGGGAACUUACAUACAGGUGCUGCAUGGCUGUCGUCAGCUCGUGUCGUGAGAUGUUGGGUUAAGUCCCGCAACGAGCGCAACCCUUUUCCUUAUUUGCCAGCGAGUAAUGUCGGGAACUUUAAGGAUACUGCCAGUGACAAACUGGAGGAAGGCGGGGACGACGUCAAGUCAUCAUGGCCCUUACGGCCAGGGCUACACACGUGCUACAAUGGUCGGUACAAAGGGUUGCUACCUAGCGAUAGGAUGCUAAUCUCAAAAAGCCGAUCGUAGUCCGGAUUGGAGUCUGCAACUCGACUCCAUGAAGUCGGAAUCGCUAGUAAUCGCGGAUCAGAAUGCCGCGGUGAAUACGUUCCCGGGCCUUGUACACACCGCCCGUCACACCAUGGGAGUUUGUUNCACCAGAAGUAGGUAGUCUAACCGCAAGGAGGACGCUUACCACGGUGUGGCCGAUGACUGGGGUGAA